AAGGAUCAUUACCUUUCAAUGCAGCAGAAUUGGGAUGGUUGAGUAUCUCGCCUCUCCGUUCUGCCUGUAUUCUACCCUUGUUUGUCAUAUACUAUUAUUUCCUCGGCAGGCUUGCCUGCCGAGUGAAGCCAUUUAUAACCUUUUUAAUUUUCAAUCAGCGUCUGAAAAAAAUUAAUAAUUACAACUUUCAACAACGGAUCUCUUGGUUCUG
rnacentral:misc_RNA from 1 species